GAAAGAGCAUUCCAUCAUGACCCUUGGACUGGGUGAGAGCAUCAUCCUUUAAUUAAUGUCUGCGCUGGGUCAGAUAACCAUCACUGUCUCCAGGUGCUGGAAUACAGAGAGGAACCAAACAGAUAAAAAUCCUUGCCUGCACAGAGCUUACCUUCAGCUAAGGGAGACAGUCAAAAACAAGUCAACACAUCUAAAGAAGCCACUGAUGAAACAGGCUCCCCCUUGGAAAGACCAUCUCGCCUUCCAACCUCUCCAUCCUGCAGAGAGGAAAACCCAAGUUUGGCGUUGGCAGUCAGGUAAUUCAUCAGAUCUGGAAACCACCUCAUCAGCAUCCCCCUGGCCAACUGGAAGCAACCGUGACGUUGUGCUGAACGCACUUGCAGAGUCGUGCUGUGGUCUCUCCGAGCUCAUCACAGCACCUCCCUAUGCAGGAGUUUCAAUUCAAGGAUUUAGCCAAAUUUGGGUGCUAUUUCCCUUUUGUGGGGGGACUUUUCAUCACAAUGAGAAGGAUGUCUUAGGACUCCAGGACAUUGAGAGGCUUGCCCAUGGCUGAGCAUGAACCAAUCAGCACACACUUCCCUGCUUCUGAGCCCAUUAAAACGCUGGACUCAGCCAGACUCAGACAGAAGUCAGGACUAACAGCUGUGGGAAGGAGCUACCCACUUCCGGUCUCCUUGACUCUUCAGGAUUACCUGCCUGCAGGUACGAGCUACCCACAAUGGGUCUCCUCUCCACUGAGAGCUGGACACUUGCCAGGACGACCUGUCUGUGGAAAGGAGUUACCCACUUUGUGCCUCCUGAGAGCUGGACACUUGCCAGGACGACCUGUCUGUGGAAAGGAGUUACCCACUUUGUGUCUCCUGAGAGCUGUUCUGUCACUCAGUGAAGCUCCUCUCCACCUUGCUCGCCCUCCAGUUGUCCAGGCACUCCAUUCUUCCUGAACGCAAGACAAAAACUUGGGACCUGCCAAAUGGUGGGACUGAAGGAGCUAUAAUACAAACAGGGGUAAAACACAACCCCCGCUCUCCAUAAUGAGAGAAGAGCUGUGGCCCUUCAAGGAGUUCAGACCUGGGGGCUCCCCAGGCCAGCGUUGUGACACCUUCUUUAGGGCUCUGUGGUUCCUGGUGUCUCCAAGCUUCUGGGCACCACUGCGUUUCUCAGUGCCCACAAUGGAAGCCGCUUGUAGUACACCUGGUCCACCAUCAGCCACGCACAGAGCCAGCACCUGGAGCUGGCCUCCCCACUGCAGCCAGCAUGCCUGGCUGUGUGCAGUGGCCGGAACCCCUUCACACUCACACAUCCCUCGCCACUCUGCACAUGGCUCACCCUUGACAGGCAUGGAGUCUGGCCAGUAGCUAGAGCUGAGUGCAGCCUGCCGGGCCAAGUGGGUGGAAUGAGCCCAGCGGUCCCGAGGAAAACUUGGGCAAAGGUUCCACUGGCCACAGAGGUUUCCAGCUGGCAGAGUGACACCCUAAAGAUCCUGUGACAUUUUCCGGGACAUUAUCAUGACCACAGACUCAGCAUCAAACAGUUAAAUGACCUUCACAGAAACCCAUGGGAUGAACUUAAAGAGAAGCCAUAUGAGGGAUUCCUGCAGGUAAAAAGCCUGCCACAAUGUAGAUAACCACCUCUGCCUUAUCACAUUGGAAAAUUAUGGCUGAGCUAUGCCAGGAUUUUGUGAAGGCUGAGGCAGAAGACAAAAGAGCCUGGCUUAAAGAUGUAUAGACCCACCAAUUCCACUCCUAUUUCUAAACCCAAAGACAUGUCCACCAAAAGACAUACGCAAGUAUGUCCAUAAUUGCCCAAACUUGAAUCAACUGAAUGUCCAGCAAUAGUCAAAUGGGGAAAUUAAACAUUCAAUGAAAGACUA
rnacentral:sRNA from 1 species